CGGACGGGUGAGUAACGCGUGGGUAACCUGCCCUGUACAGGGGGAUAACAAUCAGAAAUGACUGCUAAUACCGCAUAAGACCACAGCACCGCAUGGUGCAGGGGUAAAAACUCCGGUGGUACAGGAUGGACCCGCGUCUGAUUAGCUGGUUGGUGAGGUAACGGCUCACCAAGGCGACGAUCAGUAGCCGGCUUGAGAGAGUGAACGGCCACAUUGGGACUGAGACACGGCCCAAACUCCUACGGGAGGCAGCAUG
rnacentral:rRNA from 1 species